rnacentral:lncRNA from 1 species
CAUGAAUAUUUGAUUGUUAUGUCCUGUUUAUGUAUAAUUCCCUUAAGCAGUGUGAAAUGGCCCUUCUUGGACCCUUCUGAUUAACUUUGGCUUAAAGCCAACUUUAUCUGAUAUGAGUAUAGAAACCCCUGCUUGUGGAUAAGAUCAUGUGAGUAAAUUUUAUCCCAUCCUUUUACAUUCAGUCUGUGGUUGUCUUUGCCUAUGAGGUGAGUCUCUUGAGGACAUCUUAUUGUUGGGUCAUGUUUUAAUCCAAUCUGCCGGUCUAUGUCUUUUGGUUGAUGAGCUUAGGCCAUUUACAUUCAAUGUUAUUAUUGAGAUAUAAUUUUUAUUUCCUGUCAUUUUGUUUUAUUUUUCUCACAGCACUUAUUACUUGUAUUAUUUUAUGAUUGCCAUUCUAACUGGAGUGAGAGGAAAUCUAUGUGUAGUUUGGAUUUACAUUUCCUUGAUUGCUAAGGAUGUUGAACAUUUUUUUCAUAUAUUUGUUAGUCAUUUGCAUUUCUUCUUUUGAGAUAUAUGUUUAGUUCAUAUUCACAUUAAUUAAUUGUGUUUUGAUGUUAAGUUUUUUGUGUUCUACAUAUAACCUGGUUAUUAACUCCCAUCAGAAGAGUAGCUGGCAAAGAUUUUCUCCCAUUCUAUAGAUUAUCUCUUCAUACUCUUAUUUCCUUUGCUGUACAAAAGAUUUUUAAUUUGAAUCCUUCUGACUUAUUGAUUCUUGGUUUUAUUUCUUGAGUUUUAGAAGCCUUGUCAGAAAGUUGGUGCCCUGUACCAAUGUCUUAAAGUGUUAAACUUAAAUUUUCUUUUAGAGGUUGCAAUGUUUCUUUUCUAAUUCCUAUGUCUUUAAUAUACUGUAAGUUGAUUUUUGUUUCAUUUGGAACUUUCAUUCCUUCAAGAUAACCAAGAUUACUAUGUGCAAUAUAUAAC